ACAACCGCAUCAAGUGCACCAACCAGUACAGCAACAGUUUCACCCUCAUGUCGUUACCCGCUGUGGCAGUCACCUGGGAAGCUGCUCCUGCACAAGCUCUUGUCAGUACUAUGGAAAUUGUUGCUAUGACUACAGCUAUCACUGCUACCAAAUAACCAGCAGGCCAAAUUACAC